GGGGGCCCUCUAGGUGGGUUCCCAGACACUGCAGAGCCGCGCGCUCCCUGCUAGCUUUCAAGAAGAGCAAGUGAAAGGGGUUAAAAGAAGAUCUUGCCCCAAGGAGCAGAUUUCUUUCAGCAACCCAUUGUGUGUUAAUGAAGAAUCAGACUGAGUAAAACUACAACAUUGUACAACAGCCAAGCAAAAAUGCAGGUUUCUGCAAGGACCCAAGAGGUUCCCACUACGUCAUUGUAUUGAUGCUCAUGCCAAGGACCACAUUCCAUCUCAGACCUAUCAGAAGACGACGAUGUGUGUGUGUAUCAAACACCCAUAUUGCUCUUUACACACUGAUUUAGGAGGCCAAGCGGAUAUGUAUUUUGCUGUCCCACAGUCUGAUGUGGGCGUGCUUGACUAAAUCACUUCCAGAGAGCCAGUGAGUGACUAAUCUGUGACAACAGUAUACUUUCAGACUAACACAUUCAUGGACAACAGAAUACUGAGUUAAUGUACCAAGUCCUAGAUGGAAUUUAUUGAGAGCUCUUGGCCUAAGCUAUCACAACUGUUUUUCAUACUGAAAGAAGGUAUGUCCAGCAAGCUUGCUACCCACGUCUUUGCUCUUGAACACACAGACUACGGCAUCAGGAAUGUUUUCUUCAUGGAGACAAAUGGAGUGGGUAUAGGGGCUGCUGCAGAAAAAUUCAGCUUGUUUCCUCAUCAUCUGAAUGACUCUUCCCCAGCCCCUGUUACUGUCAUUUGCCUGUGAUAACUUCUUGUCAGUUCACAAACACAGAUGUAAUCAGUUUCCUACAUGAUCUGCGUCUCUCUUGCUGUGACUGAUGUGCUCCAGCGUGCUGUGGCAGCCCUCUCUCAUAAGCACUUCAGGGUUUGUCUUCUUUGCCCCCAGAUCAGUCCUGGGACAAGAUUAUCCCUCUAACCAAUAGUCUCACCCCACUCUCGAUCUCCAGAAGCCUCUACGACUCAGUUCUAGCUUCUCCAUCACAUCUAAGACCUCCAAAUAUAAAUUAAUUCAUUUGUGCCAAAGGCUCACAGGGUUUCUGAAGAAAAAAAGGUUUAGUGAGAAGAACACAGAUUUGGGUUUUGUUUUUUGUUGUUGUUUUUUAAUGUCACUGGGGUCUCAUUUUUACUUUACUUAUUUUGUGCUGAUUUCCUAACUUUCACUGAAUGAUGGUCAUUUUUCUCUAGGAAAUAAAAUCAUUUA